AGGUUGAGAGAAGAGAGCACAGUUCCUUAGGGGACAACAGCUCCUCAGUUCCUGGUGCCUCCACGAGGGUACAAAGGCAGGAAGCGCAAGGAAUUUUGAAAGGACAGCCAGGAGGAUCCCCCAUCUUCAGAUGUUUUGCAGAAUUUUUGGCGUCAGUGUGAAGCAUCGGAGAAGAGGGGACCUUCACUUCUUGCCAACAGUGGAUCCUCUGCACUGGGCUAUGCAUUAACCCAGAAUUAUCCAGAAACAUGGCUGUUUCUACACCCUGAACAUACCCCAUUCCA